GGCCAUAUCAUGUUGAAACACAGGUUCUUGUAUGAUCACUAAAGUUAAGCAACAUUGGGCCUGGUUAGUACCUAAAUGGGUAACAGCUUGGGAAUACCAAGUGCUGUAAA